CGGAGAGGGAGCAUGAGAAACGGCUACCACUUCUAAGGAAGGCAGCAGGCGCGCAAAUUACCCAAUCCUGACUCAGGGAGGUAGUGACAAGAAAUAACAAUAAACCGGCUUAUGCCGGUUUAAUUGGAAUGAGUACAAUUUAAACAUCUUAACGAGGAACAAUUGGAGGGCAAGUCUGGUGCCAGCAGCCGCGGUAAUUCCAGCUCCAAUAGCGUAUACUAAAGUUGUUGCAGUUAAAAAGCUCGUAGUUGGAUUUCUGCGGGGACGGAGCGGCCGGACGCAACUUGCGUCUCGAGCUAGCGCUUUCCCCGCAUCCUGCCGCGAACCGUGCUACCAUUAGUUUGGUGGCGCUGGGGAUCGGCUCGAUUACUUUGAGAAAAAUAGAGUGUUCAAAGCAGGCCACACGCCUUGAAUAAGUUAGCAUGGAAUAAUGACUAAGGACUUCGGUUCUAUUUUGUUGGUGUUCGGGACUGAAGUAAUGAUCGAUAGGGACAGUUGGGGCGGUCUGUAUUCCAAAGCGAGAGGUGAAAUUCUUAGACCUUCGGAAGACAAACAGCUGCGAAAGCGUUCCGCAAGGAUGUUCCCUUUGAUCAAGAACGAAAGUUGGGGGAUCGAAGACGAUCAGAUACCGUCGUAGUCUCAACUAUAAACUAUACCAGCUAGGGAUCGGCCAACGUUUAAUUAUUCGACUUGGUCGGCACCUUAUGAGAAAUCAAAGCAUCUGGGUUCCGGGGGGAGUAUGGUCGCAAGGCUGAAACUUAAAGGAAUUGACGGAAGGGCACCACCAGCCGUGGAGCCUGUGGCUUAAUUUGACUCAACACGGGAAAACUUACCAGGUCCAGACAUAGGAAGGAUUGACAGAUUGAUAGCUCUUUCUUGAUUCUGUGGGUGGUGGUGCAUGGCCGUUUUUAGUUGGUGGAGUGAUUUGUCUGCUUAAUUGCGUUAACGAACGAGACCCCAGCCUGCUAAAUAGCGCGGCCGAGCUUUGCUCGGUGCGAGCUUCUUAGAGGGACCAUGAUGCGCGAUAGCACAAGGAAGUUUGGGGCAACAACAGGUCUGUGAUGCCCUUAGAUGUUCUGGGCCGCACACGGGCUACACUGGCGCCUGCAACGAGCAUAUCAGCUGGCCCGAGAGGGUCUUGGCUAAUCUUUUGAACCGGCGCCGUGCUUGGGAUUGACCUUUGCAAUUGUAGGUCAUGCAACGAGGAAUGCCUUGUAAACGCGAGUCAUCAGCUCGCAUUGAAUACGUCCCUGCCCUUUGUACACACCGCCCGUCGCUCCUACCGAUGAAUGUUCCGAUGAAAUUUUCGGAGAGCGCCAGAGAACGGGGCUCUGCCUUGCAGAUCUGGAGGCUCAAAGUCACUUAAAUCUGAACAUUUCGAGGAAGGAGAAGUCGUAACAAGGUAACC
rnacentral:rRNA from 1 species